rnacentral:rRNA from 1 species
GGCAAUCGGUGGAUGCCUAGGCACCAAGAGCCGAUGAAGGACGUGGUAAUCUGCGAUAAGCCCCGGGGAGUUGGUACACGAGCUGUGAUCCGGGGAUGUCCGAAUGGGGAAACCUCGAAGGGAACCGGAGUAGUGUCCGGCGACGCUCACCUGAAUGUAUAGGGUGGUGCGAGGGAACGGGGGGAAGUGAAACAUCUCAGUACCCCUAGGAAGAGAAAACAAUAGUGAUUCCGUUAGUAGUGGCGAGCGAAC